rnacentral:rRNA from 1 species
UACGGGGGGGGCAAGCGUUGUUCGGAAUUACUGGGCGUAAAGGGCUCGUAGGCGGCCAACUAAGUCGGAUGUGAAAUCCCCAGGCUCAACCUGGGAACUGCAUCCGAUACUGGAUGGCUUGAAUUCGGGAGAGGGAUGCAGAAUUCCAGGUGUAGCGGUGAAAUGCGUAGAUAUCUGGAGGAAUACCGGUGGCGAAGGCGGCAUCCUGGACCGAGAUUGACACUGAUGAGCGAAAGCCAGGGGAGCAAACGGG